rnacentral:rRNA from 1 species
UUAGAUACCCUGUUACACUUUAUUUAAAAUUUAUUUUACCUGGGUAAUAAGCAGUUAUUGUCUUGAAACUCAAAGGAUUUGGCGGUAAUUUAGUCUAUUUAGAGGAACCUGUUCUGUAAUCGAUAAACCACGAAAUAUCUUACCUUAUUUAGUAGAAAUCAGUUUGUAUACCGUCAUUAUUAGAUAACUUUAAUAAAAGUCAGUUGUUGAAAUAAUUGUUUUAAUAUAUUAGAUCAAGGUGCAGCUAAUAAUAAGGAAGUAAUGGGUUACAAUAAUAUAUGUUAAACGGAUUAAAAGUUGAAAUGUUUUAUGAAGGUGGAUUUAAUAGUAAGUUGAGUUUAAUAAGCUUUUCUGAUUUUAGCUCUAGAUUAUGUACAUACCCCCCGUCGCUAA